CUUUAAGUAGCUUAAUUUUUAAGAGCACUGACCUUUUAAGUCAGCCAGUGGGCACUGCGCCCCUUAGAGU
rnacentral:tRNA from 1 species